UACUACGUACGUUCUUCUGACUAUUGUUUUAACUUCAGAAAUGUGCGAACUGAAUCGCCGUUUGUCAUUUAAUAAUCAUAUUUAACUUAAAUGUGUAUAAAUGUAAAAUAUCUGUGCAUAGAUCUAAUACUACCUAUGACUACCGUGCUGUUCUGUUGCAGUGUUUUCUACAAGUGUCGAUUCGAUAGAUCAAUAGAGGUAGCCUACCGUACAUGAUCUAGAAUUAAGUAUCUGCAACGAUCACCAGUAAGAAGAACUCAAAACAUGUUUCGGCAGAAUUGUUUAAAUAUAUAAUUGACUUUUAUAUUAUAUUGAUUUUUUCCCCUUUGUCGUGUGUGUUCUGUUGUAAGAACUAAUGUGUUUAAGUGGAGAUAAUAAAAUAUAAACAUGUGUU